rnacentral:rRNA from 1 species
AUGCGGNUNNNNNCGANGCAACGCGAAGAACCUUACCUGGGUUUGACAUAUAUCGGAAACGUUCAGAGAUGGGCGCCCCGUAAGGUCGGUAUACAGGUGGUGCAUGGCUGUCGUCAGCUCGUGUCGUGAGAUGUUGGGUUAAGUCCCGCAACGAGCGCAACCCUCGUCCAAUGUUGCCAGCGGGUUAUGCCGGGGACUCAUUGGAGACCGCCGGGGUCAACUCGGAGGAAGGUGGGGAUGACGUCAAGUCAUCAUGCCCCUUAUGUCCAGGGCUUCACGCAUGCUACAAUGGCCGGUACAAAGAGUUGCGAGNNNNNGAGGGUGAGCGAAUCUCAAAAAGCCGGNCUCAGUUCGGAUUGGGGUCNNNNNCUCGACCCCAUGAAGUCGGAGUCGCUAGUAAUCGCAGAUCAGCAACGCUGCGGUGAAUACGUUCCCGGGGCUUGUACACACCGCCCGUCAAGUCAUGAAAGUCGGUAACACCCGAAGCCGGUGGCCUAACCCGUUUGGGGGGGGAGCUGUCGAAGGUGGGACUGGUAAUUAGGACUAAGUCGUAACAAGGUAGCC